UUUGUGGGGGGUGAACUGGCGUUAAAUUAAAUGACAAAACCAAAAGAAAUGAAGCCUCACUUCCUUUUGUUUUGAAGCUGCAGAGGAAAUGUGGCAUGAAAAGCAAAAAGGGAUCUGGUGCCUCCCAGUUGCCACAUCUGGUGAUGUCAGUCCAUUCUUGAGGAGUGAUAAAGCAGAGGGGAGGCCGUGCUGUGAAGACCCCAAAACCUUCUACUGGGGCCAGAGGACCCUCUGGAAUCCCAGGGGCUGCCCAACGGAGUGAGGAAAUCCUCAAGGGAGAGUUGGUGACAACUGAGAGAUGAGGCCUGAGACUUCACAUAUGGCUGUCCCAGGGUGUCUUAGUUUCUUAAUGCUGCUAUAACAGAAAUACCACAACCAUGAACAAGGCACCAAUCUAGGCACUAUACUAUUUUGAAGGCACUGUUGUGGACUGUGAGGUGAAGGAUGCAAUUCAUGCCUCAAGGGACUCAGAAUCUACUUGGGAUGCAACCCAUAAACAUCAUGAAUGGGAUCUCCUGGCAUCUUCAAAGGUCUUCACUAAAUACUCAGGCAUAAAAAGAAGAAAA